CCAGGUUGGGGUGCAGUGAUGCGGUCAUAAACUCAAUUCAGCCUGGAACUCCUGGGCUCAAGCGAUCCUCCUGCCUCACCGUCCUAAGUACCUGGGACUACAUGCAUGCACCACCAUGCCUGGCAAAUUUUUAAUUUUUUUUUGUAGAGACAAGGUCUUGGUAUGUUGCCCAGGCUGGUUUUGAACUCCUGGCCUCAAGGAAUUCUCCUGCCUUCACCUCCAGAAUUGCUGCAAUUACAGGCCUGAGCCAACACAGCAGACCCUAGUUUUUUUUUUUUUUUUAUUGGAUACUGUUGGCUGCCAAUCUGACAACCAAGCCCCCUUUCUUAAGAAAAUUCCUCUUUAAUUUAGGUAGUGUCCUCUGGACAUUUGACCUGAACCUCAGUUCAGUAGGAAAUCCAGAUUAUCCUUACCAGUCAGGGUGGUAUCAUUGCCCUUCUCGGUUACAUUGCCAUGUUCUCCGCGUGAGUAUUUGGUGCAAUUCUGAUGUAUUAUGUAUGAGGGAAAGCCUGCCAUGAGCUUCUGGGAAUGGUUGGAUCCUGGAUUUUUCAACCCUGGAGAUCUCAGCUCCAACCCAUUCAUGCGUAAUGGCCUUUUCUACCUCUUAGCUAUCCAUAUGGAUUUCUGCAUUUGGGUUGGGUACCACUGUUUUUGGACUGGUCCUGUAGGGAGGCUAGACUGAAGGGCUGGGGCUGGGAUGAAGCGGUCUCAGGAUUGAAGGUAGAGGAGGUUUGCAUCUUGACCAGUGCGUUUACCAGUGGGUCAGAAAAUGGCUUGGAGAUCAGCUCUCUGGGUGUAAAGGAUACAGGCUUGCUAGAGAGUCUUGAGAAUGACUUGCUGGGAUGACAGCAAAAUUCAAGUUGUUCUCACAGUGUGGGUGUUCUCAGAGUGUGAGUUUCUAGAGUGGUUCUUGGGGAGACUGAUCUCUGAACUGCUGCUUCUGGGGCAAAGAUGGGACCGCCUUUGCUUUCCUGUCUGUGUGGAAGGAGCAGGCUGAGCAUCCACACUGAAUAUUGCAUUAGGAGAUCACAGGCCCUUGUUUGUGUAGCUGUGACUAUGUGGCCACCCCGCAGUGUAAAGUGCUGGGAAGUAAAGUUCUAAAAGUGGGUAGGAAAGAGAACAAAUUUGCACUGUAAGGCUGUUGUAGGAGGGAAGUAUCACAAGGGAGAGACCCCAGAUGUAGAUUCAAGUUCCCAUGCUACUAAUGAGGAAGAAUGUUAACCUGCACAACACACGUUGUCUCAGCAAGCCUCAGCUUACUCAUGUUUAGGAUGGAAAUAAUAAUGAGUACCUUAUAAAGUAGUAUCGAGGGUUUAGUAAGACAGUGCUUAUGGUUUGUAUGAUUAGUAAGACAGUGCAAUAAACCAAAAAUUUAGGAGCAUGUGGCUGCCGGUGGUGAUUUUAAGUCAGUUUCUUGAGCCACCACUUCUUUUAUGUUUUUAUUCUUAGAGACAGAGUCUUGCCAUGUGUCCAGGCUGGUCUUGAACUCUGGAGCUCAGGUGAGAUCCACCCAUCUCAGCCUCUACAAUAGCUGGAACUCUAGGGCACAUGCCACCAUGUCUGGCUUUACCACUUCCUUCAUUGUCUUACCUAAAACUGAUAUAUGUGAGAACUUGGCAGUGGACAAGACCAUAGGUGGUUUUUGUUUACUUUCUCCUGUUUCACAUCCACUCUAUUUCUGACAUAACCAAAAAAAAAGGCAUUCCUCUUGCACAUUCCAUAUCUUCCUCUGGAUCACUGCCCCAUGAUGUAAUGGCUUCCAGGGUGUUAAGGAGACAGAUGAAAUAUUGGAACCUGAUGUUAAUGUUCUGGCCUAUAGGAACAAGACAUUUUCAGUAAUGGAAGAAGGAGCUUCCAGGCUGGGGAAGAUCAUCAUUUCCAGUGGUAGCUUGACCUGAGAUGAUACCUGACCACCACUUCUGGGAAGGCCCAGAAUAGACAGAAGAGAGAGAACAUACUAGAGUUGCUAGCCCCUAAGAGUUGAACGAAAUGGGCAAGGCCCAGCUGAAAUAACAGGAAACACAUGAAAAAUGCCACGAUUGUAAUGUCUGUGAGGAGAGAGCAAGGCAGUUCUUCAGGGGAGGGGUCAUUGUCAUUCGAAGAUGUGGCUGUGGGCUUCACCAGGGAGGAGUGGCAGUUUUUGGACCAGUCUCAGAAGGUCUUGUACAAGGAAGUAAUGUUGGAGAACUACAUCAACCUAGUAUCAAUAGGGUAUCGAGGCACCAAGCCAGAUUCGCUCUUCAAGUUGGAGCAAGGAGAACCCCCAGGGAUAGCAGAAGGAGCAGCCCACAGUCAAAUCUGUCCAGGGUAUUCAUUCAGGAGAAGGACCCUACAGAUGGAGGGAAUGCAGGAAAGCUAAGAAGAAUCACACCUCAUUGCAGGGUUUAUCAUCAUUCAAUGAUGUGGCUGUUGACUUCACCUGGGAGGAGUGGAAUCUAUUAGACCCUGUUCAGAAGAACCUCUACCAGGAUGUGAUGUUGGAAAAUUACAACAACCUAGUGUCACUGGGUUGUCAAGCUACCAAGCCAGAAGCAAUAUUCCAGUUGGGGAAAGAAGAACAAGGAAUAGUAGAGAGAGAAUUCCCAAGUUGGUGCAGUCCAGCACGAUGGAAUUUAGUCGCCAGAAAAUGGCCAUCUCGCUAUCUGUAAGAAGCAUCUUCCAAGACUGCUGCUUCCAUGUGCACGCCUGGUUUCAAAGUCUGUAGACAUCUUGUGUUCCGCGAAGGUGCUACUGAGUCUGCACAAGAGCGUGACUACGGCAGUGAGUGAAGAGGUUACGGAAACCUGCUAGUCCUCAAGCGAAUGUUUGUGCGACUCCAGCUGUAGGGGGCUUCUUGAAAGUGACCACAGAAUGGCUGCCACUGUUCUGGACAUCACAUCAACGGGCCCUCCAGAGCCAGAAGGAUGAAGAUAAACAAAAAAACUGGCUUCAUUCACAUGCCUGUCUCAUUUUAUAAAGGAGGAAAACAUCGGCCAGCUGCGGUGGCUUAUGCCUGUAAUCCCAGCACUUUGGGAGGCCGAGUCCACCAGGGAUCAUGGCACGUUACAUAGUGGUGCCCCGAACAGCGACAGAAUCAGGGGCUCUACAAGUGGCACUCAAACAGGCGACAGUCUGAACACGGGACUAUGAGGAUGUGAAUGAAGAAGAUCUCCUGGAAUAGAGGAACUGAAAUUGACAACGCAAAUGGGGACCCUGGGAUGAGUCAGCUGGCAGCGCACAUGAGGUCAGCGCCUAAAGAGGUACUGGGAUCAGUUCCUUAAAGAAGUACUGGGAAUGGGAAGUUUUCUGAAUCACGGUAACAUGGGGCAGAAUUCGUCUACUGAAAAAAAUAAUUAUGUGCAGUUGCUUAGAGUUCUGUUGAAACAAACUGGUGCUCAGGUUAGUUCUCAGACAUUAACUUAGCUGCUGCAGGAGGUUAUUACACAUAACCCAUGGUUUCCACAGGCAGCACCCUUGAUGUGGAAAAUUGGGACAGAGCAGAAGGAUUAAAAUGGGCUCAUCAAAAAGGUCUUAAAAUUGAUCCUUCUGUUUUCUCCACUUGGAGUUUAGUUCAUACUGUACUUCUGCCAUUAUCUCCUUAUUAUUCUGUGGGACAACAGGCUGAAUCUAAAAAUCUGAAAGAAUCUGUUGUCCCACUCACAGCUCCAGAUGAAAAUAAAAAACAGGAGAGGGAGGAUAAAAAUUGGCCUAUACAGCCUCCUCCAGUUGCAGAAACAUCUGUAUUGCCUCCUUUGGUAGCAGAACUAGAGACCCCAAUACAAAGAAUUUUAUGCUCUGCUGCCAUAGCUGGAGAGCCCCUAGGACCUUGCACUUUUCCUAUUUCCAUAAGGCCUGAUCCCAACAAUCCACAGCAGGUUAUUCAUGAACACACCCCACUAGAGUAAGUUGUUGAAGGAAUUAAAAGCGAGAGUGGUAAAUAAUGGCAUACAGAGCCGGUUGACCUUAGGAUUGCUAGAAUCUGUGUUUGGUGCUAUGCGUUUUUUACCCUUUGAUGUGAGACACUUGAUGCGAACUUGCUUGUCCACUAGUGCAUAUCUGACAUGGAAUUUAAAUUGGCAAGAAAUGUGUGCAGACCAGGCUAAACAGAACCAUGUUGCUGGACACGGAGACAUUACAGAGGAUAUGCUAUUAGGUAAUGGCCCUUAUUCAGACCUGGAAAGUCAAAUGGCACUCCCAGACGCUGCUUAUCAGCAGUGUGCACAGGCUGUUAAAUGCACCUGGGCCGCAAUUCCUGAAGAGGGAGUCCCAGUACAAUCCUUUUUACAUAUGCAAGGGUCACAGGAACCCUAUGUGCAAUUUCUUACAAGAUCACAAGAGGCAGUGAAGCGUCAGAUUCCUCAUACCACGGCUGCAGAAAUGCUAACCUUAACUCUAGCUUUUGAGGAUGCAAACGCGGAUUGUAAACAUGCACUGGCACUGGUGAGGUGUAUAAAAAACUUGGGAAGUUUUCUCAGAGCUUGUCAAGAUGUAGGAACUGAGCUUCAUCACUUUGCAAUAUUAGCGCAAGCAGUGGCUAAUUUAGCAGUUGACAAAUCUAAAAGGAGCCAAGGGUCAAACCCUAAAGUGGGAAAAUGUUAUAAUUGUGAAAAACCUGGACAUUUUAAAAAGGAAUGCCGCCAGAUCUCAGUACAGAAAGGACCUUACAAUGCAGUGCCCCACCCAGUGGAAAAAAUGCCAGGACUUUGUCCUUGCGUAACAGAGGAAAUAACUGGGCUAAUCAGUGCCGCUCAAAAUUUCAUCAGAAUGGCACCCCCCUGCUGGGAAAUGAGAUGGGGGCCUGGACCCAGGCCCCACAAACAAUGAGGGCAUUCCCAGUCCAGACCUCAACCCCGUUCCAGGCAUGGGUUCCCAGAGGCACAUUGAUUCCCUCACCCCAGGAACACAAGGAGUGCAGGAUUAGAUCUCCCAGUCAAAGAAUGGGUAAUGUUAGUUGGGGCAGACAAACCCAUCAAAGUUCCCACUGAUAUUUGGGGACCUUUAUCAGCAGGAUAUGUGAAACUAAUUUUAGGCAAAAUCUGCCUUAACUUACAGGGCAUUACUGUAGUCCCAGAAGUUGUUGACUCUGAUUAUGAAGGAGAAAUUCAAGUAGUUUUAAUGUCACAAGAUCUUUGGGUUUUGAGCUGGGACAAUAUACUGCUCAAUUAUUGCUUAUUCCCUGCAAAUCACACCCUUCUCCAUGAAAGGAGAAAUGAGAAAAUAAAGAGGUUGGGAGCACAACUACAUGAGAAAUCUAUCUAUCCCAACCCAUAGCCUCUAAUAGACCUACCUGUGUAGUACACAUUAAAGGAAAGAAAUUUUAUGGGCUUAUGGAUACGGGAGCUGAUGUGUCAGUCAUAUCUAAAGACAGUUGGCCCCCAUCCUGGCCCUUGCAAUUAACUUCUACAUCCCUAGUGGGAGUAGGAACAGCUCAAAGUGUUCAACAGAGCACUGAGAUUUUACCUUGUCUUGGUCCAGAUGGACAGUCAUGUACUUUUCAGUCUUAUGUUGAAAAUAUAGCUAUCAAUUUAUGGGGUUGAGACUUACUUAUAACAUGGAAUAUGAGACUUACAAAUGAAAACUUUGAUAACCCAGGAUUUAAAAUGUUGAAGAACAUGAGAUAUCAGAGGGGAAAAUGUUUAGGAAAAUUUCUUCAAGGAAAUCCUAACCCAAUAUCAGUAACUGGAAAAACAGAUAGAAAAGGGCUAGGACGUCAGGAUUUCUGACGAGGGUCAUUGAUAUUUCUCCUCUGCCCACUGCCUCACUAUUAGAAUGGCUCAGUGACAAACCCGUGUGGGUGGAUCAAUGGCCCCUAUCUCAGGAGAACCUGAUGCAACUUCAGCAGCUAGUAAAAGAACAAUGGGAUGCCGGACACAUAAGCUUGGAAUUCUCCAGUGUUUGUUUUUCCAAAAAAGUCCGGAAGAUGGCGACUACUACAUGAUUUAAGAGCUAUUCAUGUACACAUAAAACUGAUGGGUGCCUUACAAAAACUUUCACCAUCUCCAGCGGCUAUUCCAAGAGACUGGCCUCUUGUAGUAAUAGAUCUUAAGGAUUGUUUCUUUACUACACCCUUACACGAGAAGGAUAAGCCUUGAUUUGCAUUCUCUGUGCCUUCUAUUAAUCAAAGAGAACCUGUUUCUCAUUAUCAAUGGAGAGUUUUACCCCAAGGCAUGCUUAACAGUCUUACGCUAUGUCAGCAUUUUGUAGGACAGGCAUUAAAGAAGCCUCGGAAUAUGUUUCCUACUGCUUACAUCAUUCAUUAUAUGGAUGAUAUUCUUUUGGCUGCUCCUACAGAUCAAAACCUACAUCAGUUAUUCAGAGAAACAAAGCAGGCUUUGACUAAAUGGAAUCUCAAAAUAGCUCUAGAAAAGGUACAAACAACUUCCCCAUACCAAUACUUAGGAACUAUUGUUACAGAGAGAAGUGUAUGGACUCAGAAAGUAGUUCUCCAUAAAGACAGGUUAUAGACUUUAAAUGAUUUUCAGCAGUUAUUAGGAGAUAUUAAUUGGCCAUGACCGAUGUUAGGUAUUGCUACCUAUCAACUUACACAUAUUUACCAAACCCUGCACGGAGAUUCUUUAAAUUCCCUGCAGCAACUAACUAAAGAGGCAGAAGCCAAAUUACAGCUUGUAGAGCAAAUGUUACAGCAGAGACAUGCCUCAUGGCUACAACCACAAAAACCUUUGCUUUUGUUUAUUCUUCCUACCCCCUACUCUCCAACAGGACUUUUGGGCCAGUUUAUAGACUAGUCUGUAACAGUAAUAGAAUGGUUCUUUCUAUCUAAUCAAACAGUCAAAACCUUGCAAGUUUAUCUUUCUUUAAUUACACAAAUUGUGACUAUGGGCAGGCAUAGGUCACAAAUGCUUACAGGAUAUGAUCCUGACAAAAUUAUUGUUCCUUUAGACUCUCAGCAACAAGCUGCAGCUUGGGAAAUGUCGACUGCCUGGCAAACUGCUUUCGCAGACUUCAUGGGCGUGAUAGAUAACCACUACUCUCAGACAAAAUUUUACAGUUUUAUAAAAUCCAUUCUUUCAUUCUUCCUGUGAUUACUCAUCACAAACCUAUUCCAGGUGGACAGACUUAUUUUACUGAUGGCUCUUCCAAAGGUCAUGCUGCCAUCUAUGGACUAAAACAUACUCAAACAAUAAGGAUCUCUGGGGUUUCAGGUCAAUGCUCAGAGCUAGUUGCAGUCAGCUGUGAGGUUUUACAGCUCACAGCUUCAGAUCCUAUCAACUGCAGGGACCCGAAGGCCCAUGGGACGUGACCAACUCAGCAUUCCACUGGAGGCUAUAUGAUCAAACAGCAAACUGUUUAUCAUGAAUGCAGGAUGUGGCAAACUCACACUGCGCUGCCACCAAAAGGUUUGUGGAGGGCCUCACUCCCUGGCUCCUUGAAGUUAUCUAUUGAGAGUUAUCUAUUGAGAAAUCUAGCGCCUACUGUUUUAAGAAUGCAGUCUUGCAAGCCUGCUGUGAAUCAGGCUGCUAGCCAGCAACCACCCCCCCCACUUCCUGCUAUCUCUUUUGCCUGAUAAAUACGGAGGGCUGUGUAAAGCUCAGGGCCAUUGUCCACUAGAGGCAAGCUGCCCCCUGACCGCUUCUUCCAAAUAUACUCUUUUAUCUCUUGUCUUUUAUUCCCACGCUCGUCCCCUUUGUUCAGUCCAUCAGGGAUCGUGGCAGGCUACAAUCAACAUUGUCAACCAUAAAGACAGGUUACAGACUUUAAAUGAUUUUCAGCAAUUAUUAGGAGAUAUUAAUUGGCUACGCCCGAUGUUAGGUAUUGCUACCUAUCAACUUACACAUCUUUACCAAACCCUGCAAGGAGAUUCUUCUUGUUCAGCUUAUGUUGUAAAUUUAGCCAUUCGCAUAGAAACUGCUACAGUUAAAAGUACGCUAGACCCAGAACUGCUUAAUUUGUUUCACUUAUUCUCAUAUGCUGCAUGGUACAUGCCAAACAGGUGAGACAGCUGGUCAUGUACAGCGACAUUGUCUGUCAUCAUUUGCUCAUAUGGGAAUACCUAAACAAUUAAAAAUUGACAAUGGACCUGCUUAUACUAGUCAUGCUUUUCAAAAUUUCCUACAGCUUUGGGCUAUAACCCAUAAAACAGGAAUUCCUUAUAAUCCUAGAGGACAAGGCAUUAUAGAAUGGGCACAUCAAACAUUACAACGAAUGUUGAAAAGACAAAAAGGGGGUAUAGGAGGCCAACUACCACCUCAAUCAAAACUACAUUUAGCCUUAUUUACUUUAAAAUUUUUGACUCCUGGUACGGAUGGUAAGACUCCAGCAGAAAGACAUUGGCAAGUGUUAGAGGAAAAGAGGAAAGUUUAUCUGAAAGUGUUAUGGAAAUCCCCAGAAGAAGGACAAUGGAAAGGCCCGGUGGAUUUACUGACAUGGGGAAGAGGGUAUGCUUGUGUGUUUACAGGAGAUUGACAAGCCAUGUGGGUGCCCUCAAGGUGCUUGCAACCCUGGAAUGGGAGACUGGAGAAACAUGGGGUGGCCAACCAUGGGCCCAGUCCCUCCGGUACGAGCCAUGAGUCAGCUGAGCCUGAGUGCAAAGAUGGAGAGAAGGCCGACUGGAGUCACGACACAGUCUUAAUGUUACAUUUGUAAAGAAUAUCACCACUCAAUUUGUGGUUUGUGUUUUUAAUCCUUAUGUCUUUUUGGCAGCUCAGAAGGACCAGCUCCAGGUAAACAAUACCCAGUUGACCUGUAAAUCUUGCCAGUUAUAUCACUGCAUUAAUCAUAGCACAUUGCGAACACAUAAUAUCUCGACUUUGAUGAUUUUAGGUUGCAUCCCUGGGCUAGGGAUUCCUGUUAAUCUGUCCGAGGCUUGGGCUGCCACACCUGCUUUGCAUUUUGUGAAACUUCUUCUACUUCAGGUUACUUAUUGUGCCCGUAGAGCCUUAGGCAUGAUAAUUUUUGCUAUCGUUUCCUUGGUCACACUAAUAACUUCUGUUGUGAUGUCCUCUGUAACUUUGCAUAGUUCUGUUCAAACGGCUCAGUACGUAGAGAAUUGGACACGUACAGCCAACCAAGCGAGGCUACUUCAGAAUAAAAUUAACACUGAGUUACAAACUGAAGUGGCAAUGUUGAAAUCCAUGGUUCUGUGGUUAGGGGAACAAGUAUAAAGCUUGCAGUUGCAGCGGCAAUUGCGCUGUCAUUUUAAUCACACUCGUAUUUGUGUAACCAACUUAGAAUAUAACAAAAGUGAGUAUCCGUGGGACCUUGUGAAAGCCCAUUUGCAAGGAGCUUUCACAUCCAACAUCACCUUUGAUAUUAGUGAAUUACAAAACAAAAUUCUUGAUUUAAAUAGGCACACUCAAGAAUUUCAGCCUUCUUUAGAAGACUGGACUGAAUUCCAGGAAGGCCUGGAGAGCCUCAACCCUUGGACCUAUCUAAAGUACCACAGUAACAUCUUAUAUGUAGUUCUUGGAGUAAUGUUGUUUUGUCUCUGUCUUCUGUUUAUAGUCUGUAAAAUCGGAUGGACCGCCAAUCGGAGAAUGAGAGCUGCCCAGCCUGGUCUUACAUUCUUUCAAUUAAUUCAUAAACAGGGGGAUAUGCAGGGAGCCGAAGGCCCAUGGGACGUGACCAACUCAGCAUUCCACUGGAGGCUAUAUGAUCAAACAGCAAACUGUUUAUCAUGAAUACAGGAUGUGAGCAAACUCACGACUGUGCCUGCCGCCAGAAGGUUUGCUGAGGGCAAUCGCUUCCUGACGCCAAGCUCUUUGAAGUUAUCUACUGGAACAUCUAGAGAAUGCAGUCUUGCAAGCCUACUCUGGACCAACCAACUGACCUCUUCUUCCACCCCCCUUCUCACUAUCGCUUUUCUCUAAUAAAUACAGAGGGCCGUGUAAAGCUCAGGGCCUUGUCCACUAGAGGCAAGGUGCCCCCGGACCCCUUCUUCCAAAUAUA